rnacentral:rRNA from 1 species
AUUGAACGCUAGCGGCAGGCCUAACACAUGCAAGUCGAACGAGUGGCGGACGGGUGAGUAAUGUCUGGGAAACUGCCCGGUAGCGGGGGAUAACUACUGGAAACGGUAGCUAAUACCGCAUACCAUCAGAUGGGCCCAGAUGGGAUGAGCUUGUUGGUGGGGUAAAGGCUCACCAAGGCGACGAUCCCUAGCUGGUCUGAGAGGAUGACCAGCCACACUGGAACGUAGAUACGGGCCAGACUCCUACGGUAGGCAGCAGUGGGGAAUAUUGCACAAUGGGUGCAAGCCUGAUCCAGCCAUGCCGCGUGUAUGACGAAGGCCUUCGGGUUGUAAAGUACUUUCAGCAGAGAGGCGGUACCUGCAGAAGAAGCACCGGCUAACUCCGUGCCAGCCGCCGCGGUAAUAC